CCAAGUAUCCUGGAAUAAAGAAUAUAGUGUCAUCUUAUUAGUGGUAUUAUGCAAUGUUUGGUAGAAAUACAAAUAGCAACAGAAUUACGUCUCAUGAUAAAUUAUAACUCUUUGAUUCAAUCUUCUUAAUUGGCCGGUAUCAGUGGUGCCUUGAUUAUUCACCUGUUGGCCUUUUUUCGGAACCGGCAGCUUUAGCUCAUUGUAAGUGUAUUGUAUAUUUGCUAGUGUGAGGUAAUGUAUAAAUUAAUAAACUAAAUUAAUAAAUAAACAGUAUUUA